rnacentral:rRNA from 1 species
UUGCCAUAGUACUCUUGAGGUGGAAUGCUUACACUUUCGUUUAUACAUUAAAAUCUAUCUAAUGUAUGACAUUCAUCAUUGUCUGCUUGGACUAUUAGGGUAUCUAAUCCUGUUUGCUACCCAAGCCUUCGUCUCUCAACGUCAGUUAUUACAUAGAAGGACGCCUUCGCCGUUGACAGUCCUCCUGGUAUCAAAAAAUUUUAUCUCUACUCCAGGAAUUCUUCCUUCUCUCAUAUAACUCUAGUAAAUAAGUACUCUUUUAGAGUUUAAUUUACCGUCUACUUACCCUUUAAACCCAAUAAAGAUAACUAACACUAGCCUUCUACGUAGUUUGGUCAAGACUUAUAAAUAGAUUUUGUCAUAUAUAUAAUCUAUUUAGAAUUUUAUGUGUUUAACCACUAUUGUAUUUAUACAAAUACAAUUAUUCUUC